AUCUUGAGUCACCGAACGUCAUCCAUCGCCUGACUGCUGCUUUUACAUACGUGCAGUUGAGAGAAGAAGGUGGACCAGGGUGUCAACUGUUUUAUUUAAUCAGACUCUCGAGGGAUCUAUCUUUUGAUACUUCUUUUUUCGAGUUUCGACAUCGAUCGUAUAACGUUAGUUUUUUUGGUUUUUGGAUUACAAGACAGCGCGUGGAGUUGAAGCAGGAUGUCUAGAUCAGAUUUCCCUCCUUCUUAUGAUGAUUCUCGACUGCUGUCAAACACUCAGCCGGGGCCAGGUUAUCCUCCUUCUGCUCCUCCAUAUGGAUUUAGUCCAUAUGAGGGACAACCGGGAUACCCACAGCCUAAUGAUCCAUACCGAGGACAGCCCAAUGAUCCAUACCGAGGACAGCCUAAUGAUCCAUACCGAGGACAGCCUAAUGAUCCAUACCGAGGACAGCCGGCCGGAUACCCCCCUCCAGCUAUGCCAGUCAUCCCCGUCAUGCCUCCUCCUGGGAUAGGUGACAGUGAAGGAUUUACCACAGCUGAAGGAUUCGAGAGCACUGAUGUCCGGCACAGUUUUAUACGCAAAGUUUAUCUGAUCCUCGCUGCUCAGCUUCUUGUCACUGCUGCCGUCGUGGCUAUUUUCACAUUUGUGGAACCAGUAGGAUUGUUUGUGAGGAAGAACCCCGCCAUCUACUGGGUUUCAUAUGCCAUCUAUUUUGUCACACAUAUAGUACUGGUUUGCUGUCAGGGACCCAGGAGGCGUUUUCCAUGGAACCUGCUCCUGUUGGCCAUUUUUACACUGGCCUUAUCUUUCAUGACUGGAAAUAUAGCAAGUUAUUACAGCACUAGAGCGGUGUUCCUGGCCCUGGCCAUCACAGUUGUCGUGUGUGUAGCAGUGACUGUGUUCUGCUUUCAGACGAAGGUGGACUUCACCAAAUGUUCUGGCUUUUUCUGUGUACUCGGAAUCGUAGUGUUUGUGACCGGCAUCAUCACUGCUAUUGUCCUGUCAUUUAAAUAUGUCCCAUGGCUACACAUGCUUUAUGCAUCUAUAGGAGCCAUUGCAUUCACUUUGUUUCUGGCCUAUCACACUCAGCUGCUCAUCGGGAACCGGAAGCUCUCCAUCAGCCCAGAAGAGUAUGUGUUCGCUGCUCUCUCCCUUUAUGUUGACAUUGUGCAGAUCUUCAUCUUCCUCCUGCAAAUCAUCGGUUACGCAGAGAGAUAGAUAGAUGGAUGGAUCAGAAGGUGAUUGAUGUACCUUUACAGUACUGUCAUAACGGCUUUAUUGUUUAUGCACCAUGCAGUGCCUGCUCAGCCUGGUCUUAACUAUAACAUAUACUCAAAUAUUACUGAACUUAAAAUAUAGCUGGCGUUAUACUGAUCAAGCAGCCGGAGUAUAAUUUCCACAGUUAAUUAUUGAGGAUUUCCAUCAUUAAACAAACAUAUGCAUACUAUCUGGUGAAAAAUGAUAGAUGUGUUUUAAGCCAGUGUUUCCCUACACUGUUUCUGAGGGCACACCAACAGUACACAUUUUCAACCUCUUCCUAAUCAAACAGACCAGAAUCACCUCAUCAGAACAUAAGAUGAGACUCCAAAACCUGAAGCCAAUGGGUCAGAUAAGGGAGACAUCCAAAUUAUGUACUGUUGAUGAAGCCAGUGUUUCCCAACCUUGUUCCUAAAGGCACACCAACAGUACACAUUUUCAACCUCUUCCUAAUCACACACACUUAAACUCAUCAUAACAUUAGAAGAGACUCUAAAACCUCAAAUGAAUGGGUCAGAUAAGGGAGACAUCAUAAUAUGUACUGUUGAUAAGGCCAGUGUUUCCCAACCCUGUUCCUAAAGGCACACCAACAGUACACAUUUUCAACAUCUUCCUAAUCAAACACGCGUGAAUCACCUUAUAAGAAGAGAAAUCAAAACCUGAAAUGUAAAGGUCAGAUAAGGGAGACAUCCAAAUAUGUACUGUUGGUGAAGCUGGUGUUUCCCAACCAUGUUCUUAAAGAUACAGCAGCAGUGCACAUUUUCAACCUCUUCCUAAUCAAACACACCUGAAUCACCUCAUCAGAAGAGACUCCAAAACCUAAAGUUAAUGUGACAGAUAAGGGAGACAUUAAAAUAUGUACCAUUGGUGAAGCCAGUGUUUCCCAACACUGUUCCUAAAGGCACACCAACAGUACACAUUUUUAACCUCUUGUGAAUCAAACACACCUGAAUCACCUCAUCAUAACAUUAGAAGAUACUCUAAAACCUCAAAUGAAUGGGUCAGAUAAGGGAGACAUCAUAAUAUGUACUGUUGGUGAAGCCGGUGUUUCCCAACCCUGUUCCUAAAGGCACACCAACAGUACACAUUUUCAACAUCUUCCUAAUCAAACACGCGUGAAUCACCUUAUAAGAAGAGAAAUCAAAACCUGAAAUGUAAAGGUCAGAUAAGGGAGACAUCCAAAUAUGUACUGUUGGUGAAGCUGGUGUUUCCCAACCAUGUUCUUAAAGAUACAGCAGCAGUGCACAUUUUCAACCUCUUCCUAAUCAAACACACCUGAAUCACCUCAUCAGAAGAGACUCCAAAACCUAAAGUUAAUGUGACAGAUAAGGGAGACAUUAAAAUAUGUACCAUUGGUGAAGCCAGUGUUUCCCAACACUGUUCCUAAAGGCACACCAACAGUACACAUUUUUAACCUCUUCCUAAUCAAACACAUCUGAACUCGAGAGAACAUUAGAAGAGACUCCAAAACCUGAAUAGGCUUAUUGGAGAUAAACCUAUCAUGAGACCAGAUAAUAUAGACAUCCAAAAUGUGUACUGUUGGUGUGUUUGGCAGGAACACACUUGGGAAACACUGUUUUAAGCCUUAUGUUGUAUUAAUCAUAGUUUCUAUUGUGUGGAAGCCUGUUACCAUGGAAUAAAAAAAAAGGUUGAUGUGCCAAUUCUGACUUGGAUCUCACAGUUUGGACAUUUCUUAUAGAAUUGCGAGUGUAUGUCUUGGAAAUGUACUCGCUCUAAAUUGCGUGUUUAUAGCUCAAAAUCCUGAGUAAAACGAGUUUGGGAGAAAACCUGGGAAAUCUGAUUUAAUAAUUCAAAAUUGUGAGAAACAAAGUCUGAGUUGGGAAAAAUAAAGGUAAACUUUAUGAGGAAAAAACGCCUCAAUAAAAAAAAAAACACUUUUUUUAAAUUAAUUUUUAUUUUGCUUCAUAAAAAAUUAUAAUCACCUUUUUUUUAUUCUGUUGUGGAAACAGGCAGUGGAAGAAAACUGCAUCAUUACGAUUUCUACUGUAUAGACUUGGAUGUGCUGUAUUUACUGUUGAUAUUACAUGUUUAUGUGUGUGUGUGUGUGGUCAAGGGUUUAGCUUUUCUGCUGUGUAUAUAUAGUUACAUUGUAUUUUAUUUUACGAGAUUCAAAUCCCAGACAUCUUUAUACACAAUAUAAAGUCUGUUUUAUAUAUAUAUUCGCUUUAGAUUUAAGAAAAGUUUUUAGUUGAAGAAUUUUAUACUUUAUUCACAGGUUAUGUGAUGUACAGCAGUGCCUUUCUACUUUCGUUUAGCUCCAAAGAUACACUAUCAUGUUGUAAAAACUACAUCGAAAAGCUCACAAUGUUCUCAUGCUCCAGUUUGAUAUGCUGUCCUUAUUUUAAGAUGGUCAAUAAAAGGAACACUUGAG